AUCCAGCUGACAGGUUCCAAAUAGGACGAAACGCGCGUCCUGGAU
rfam:Schistosoma mattheei strain Denwood, Zambia genome assembly, scaffold: SMTD_scaffold0000019